AUCUUGAGUACUAUCCACGCAUCCUCUUGACUCCAAAUUCUGCUCCUUUGUGCAGGAUUUUCAGGUGACUCUUCCUUAACGAUCUCCCUUCCCAUCCCUCGUAAUAGAUCAUGCAUUCCUAUCGUUCCAGAAUCAUCAACUUUAAUCAGAGACCGUUCAAUAAGAGUUCCGAAAUCAUCUUCUGGAUUGCAAUCAUAACGUCCUUCUAGCACUUUUGCUAUGUAUUCUUUCUUUCUACCAAUAAAGAAGCAUGCAAUAUCAAGAAAUGUAUUCUUUAGUGUAGAUUCAUCCAGUGUGUCAAAACUUAUUCUAAGUUUUUUCUGAAUUUCACUGUUUGGAAAAUUUCUCAAUCUGUCAAUUACAGAUUCCCAUCUAGCUUGGUUUUUCCCAUACAAACAAGAACCUAAAACCUUAAGAGCUAAAGGAAUUCCUCCACAGUAUUCAACUACAUCAUUCGAAAGCUCAACAUAAUAUUUUGCUGGUUUGGUGUCCCUAAACGCAUGCCUACAGAAAAGCUGAAGGGAGUCACCCCGGGUCAAUUCUUGAACCUGGUAUCUUUGAUCAGCUUCAAGAAGUAAGCUUUCAUCUGUAGUUGUAAUUAUUACCCUACUUCCAGGGCCUAACCAACUUGGCUCUCCCAUCAAAUCAAAUGAAGAAGUGCGGUCUCAUUAUCAUGGGUGACCUACCCAGAUGGAAAAAAUAUGAAGAAGUGUGGUCUCGUUAUCAUGGGUGACCUACCCAGGUGGAAAAAAAAUAUGAAGUGUGGUCUCAUUGUAAUGGGUGACCUACCCAAGAUGGAAAAAAUAUGAAGAAGUGCGGUCUCAUUGUCAUGGCUGACCAACCCAGGUGGAAGAUGUGAUAUGACAAGUGUGAAAAAUAGGACUUACCUGGCGAAGUCCUGAGGGGAUGACAGAAAAAGGGCUGGAAAACUUGGUGCUUCCUGAUAAUUCCCGAUCAUAGGGUUUGAAAACUCGGUGUUUCCUGACUGCAAGGGUUGAAAAUUCGAGGCUUCCCGGUUGCAAGGUUGAUCUAUUCAUUUCUUUGGGAUUUUCCUAAUGGUAGGGUUCAUCCCAUCGUCCUUUUAUUCCAUGAUCAAAACCGAUUCUUUAUUAUCAUCACCCACAAUGCUUCUUUCUUUUUCCACCAUCUUGCUGGACCUCAUUAAGGAUUUUCCUAUAACAAUUCAAAAAUAUGUACAAAUGGUUUUUUUUUUUUUUUUGAGGUUAGAUGAUAUGCAUGCAUCCUUACCUGAUUUGAAAUAUAGGUCCCCCCCUCCUUGAUGCUCCAUCGUCAUAGGGUGCCCUUGUUUGCAUCCCAAAGUUUUCUUUGUUCUUCCGAUGCAUUGGCUCAUUCAUGUGCUAGCCAUCCACUCAGCUGUAAAUGCAGUGCCCAUCCCGGGCUGUCUUCGACAAUUACUGCUUGCCUCGUUCAUCAAGCUUGACCCUGCCCUCAAGUGUGGUGCUGCUCAAUUCAUUAUGAAGGUUUUUCUCUCCUAGAUUCUUUCGAGGAUUAUCCUUUUGAUUGAUUGUGUGUGUUGUAACCCAUUUUUAGGUCCCCACAAAAAUAAAAAUAAAAUAAAUAGCCAAAGGAGGUUAGAAAAAUAACAAGAGGUAGAAGCGCUUAGAAAGUGGUCAGAAAAAUCGGUCAAGGAGGAUAAAAAUACAAAGAUGGAUUUUUGACAAUAUAUUCUUGAAUGAUAAGAACCCUGGUGGAUAAAAAAAUUUGAUUUUUUGAGGAGAAAAGUCCAAAUUUGGAGGUUUAUGGAUUUAAUUGGAUUUUUAAUUGAAUUUAUAGAGGAUUUGAGUGCAAGAAAAGUUGAUUUUUAAGUCAAUUUGGGCUUUAAUUAGAAGAAAUUUAAGUUCUGGGGCCAAAAUAUAUUUUUUAGGAUUUUAUUGGGUCAAAUCAGGGGCUUAAUUGCAUAAAUAUUGAAGUUUAAUGGCCAAUUAGGGACUUAAUUAAGAAAAUCCGAAACCAGGGACCAAAUUGGAAGAGGCGCGUAAAUGGAGGGGCUGCAAUUAUUCGGUUUAGGGGCCUAAUUGAAGAAAUUGAAAGUUUAUUAAUCAAUUGAGGGCUCAAUUGCAUAAAUUAGAGGCCAAGUACCAAAGUGAAAAACACGGCCAACUAUGGGGGCGGGGACCGAAUUUGGCAGGGAUACAAUUGAAAUGAACAAGAAAUGAUGGAGGGCUGAUUUGAAGUUUGGCUCAUUUAAAUGAAAAGGCGCGUUUUAUCCAAAACGACGUCGUUUCAUAUAUAUAUAUAUAUAUAUAUAUAUAUAUAUAUAUAUAUAUAUAAAAGACCAGAACGAUGUCGUUUUGAACGACACUGUUCAUCUUCCUCCUUCCCCCCGAAUGAGCAGCAACAAGAGACGAAAACAUUUUCAAACCUUCCCGCCUCUCUCUCCUCGCCCCCACCGAAGCCCCACAAGACCACCAAACGGGUCACUGGCCGACCAGCCGUUGCGUGAUUGAAGGUGCACUAGCAAAAGGCACACCGGCUCCUUUUUUCCCCCUUAUAAAUAGAGAGAGACCAAAGGAGAGAGGAAGACCCGAGGAUAGAGGGAGAAGAGAAAUAACGCACGAAGAAGAGGGAAGAGCAGGAACAAACCGAAAACAAAGAAACCCAAACCGAAAACAAAAAAGAAAAAAAAGAGAACCGAAACAAGGAGAAGGGAGGAGAGAGAGAGAGCAAACCGAACACUUGGAAACAGCCGCCGCGCCGCCGCCCGAAGCCGCCGUCCACAAGCCACGCCACCGCAGCACCGCCAGUGACCGCCUCCUCCACGCCAGGUAAAUUUUCUUCUUCCCCCUUCGCUUUCAUUGCAGGCGUUACCUCCUGCAUGAAGAGUUCUGCAUGCAGGAGGCGAGGGGAAGAAAAUUAAUUCUUCCCCCCGCUGGGCCGAGGGUGCUGGGCCAGCCCGAUGCUGGCCCAGACUGUAGAAGUUUUUGGGCCGAGAUCGGCCCAAUUUCAUUUUGGGCUGAGGUCGGCCCGUUUUUAUUUUUUUGGGCUGAGCCUGGCCCAUUUAUUUGGGCCGGCCCAGCCCCAUAAUAUAAUAUAUUAUAUAUUAUAUAUAAAAAAAUAUUUAUAUUAAAAGAAAAUAUUUUGAAAAAUCUUAAAAAAUACUGUUGAUUUUCCUGCAUAUUUUUGUCAAAAAUGCUUUAAUGUUGGUUUGUAUUUUUAUACCGUAAAGAUACAAAAUAAGUGUUAAAAAUACCCGGUUUUCGUCAAAAUAUCAAAGAUUUUUAGAAUAAAAAAUGUUUUUGCUAAAAAAAAUCCCUAAAAAUGUUGUUGAUUGUUCUGCAUAUUUUUAUUAAAGUUGAUUAAUAUUGGAUUGUAUUUUUAUAUCGUAAGGAUACAAACUCAGUAUUUAAAUACCCGAUUUUCAUCAAAGCAUAAAAAAUAAUAUUUUCCAAAAAAAUUUGUGUUUGGUUUUAAAAUACGGCCUAGUCUCUCCAAUAUAUAUAUAAAUAUUAUAUCAUAUUUUCACACAACAAAGGAAAUUUUCAAAACAAUAUAUGUAUUAGCAUGCAUUUUGGCUUUAAUAACCAGUUUAUUCAAGCCAUGAGAACUAGACCAAUAUUUCAAAAAUUAUAAAAAAUUCUUUUUGUUUUCUUUUAGUAUUUGGGAUUAGGAAUUUAUACGUAAAAUGUAUUCCUAAAUAUUAUUAAUAAAGUUUUGGGUAUAGACGUUAGAACAGUUAGGAUUUUACCCAAUAAGAUAAAGAUCUCCUUAUCGAGGAGGUUUUUUUCUUGAACCAUACACAGACCAACAACUAGGAAAACACGAAAAUACCUUAGAUUUUAUCAGAUAAUAAAACAAUGCAGCUUACCUUAGGUAGGGCGUAUUUGGGGUGUUAAUACCUUCACUUUACGCAACCAGUCCCCGUACCCGAUCUCUGAGACCAGUUAGGGUUCCUAGUGACCAAAAUACUAGGUGGCGACUCCAAAGAACCAAAUCAGUAAAACAAAAAAAAAUCGCCAGCUGAACGCCGCAUUGGAUUUUUUUUGGGGUGCGACAGUGUGCAUCAUGCCAACACCCAUCCAGAUUGUUAACUAGUCUGAAACUGCCUCCAGUUGAAACAUCAUUCAAGUAUAUGUGGUCAUCCAUAAUCAUGGAACUGCCACGUCAUUCCGACAUGCAUCUCAUACUUUGCAGGGAAAGGCUCAUCGUUGUAAGCUCAAUGUUUUCCUCAAAAAGUUAUUCUCACCCAUCUAAUCAGAUCUUGAAAAGAAAUGUAUUGGCAUCAUCAAUGAUGUUCAUGUUAUCACCCAUAUUCAUGCGGUGAAGUGUGCAUUUGAGCUUCAAAACAAAUGGUCCCACAAUCAGUCUUGGUGGGUGCAUCCUUCAGCAUUCAUGCACAUGCAACUAUGUGAACAUCGUUCAAAAGUCAUACCAUGUUGAAGAUGAUAAACCAAGAUGAAGAUAUGAAAAUAUCCUUCUAGUGCAGCGUUGCUCAUCAAUUGCUGCUGAAGUGCACUAGAUCAUGGAUUGUCUUUGAACAACAUUGCCCCAUAUGAUCUGAAGGUUCGUUCAUCUUUAUACUCAAGAAGGUUUUUCUUUGUCAUUGUCAGAUGCUAAAACUUUGGACUUUGAUGACUCAUCAUCUGAUUCUUUCUUUGCCCCCAGCUGAUCUGGAUAUUGUUUGUUUUCUUCUUAAGGGUCCACUGUAUUGCCCCCAGGUGGUCAACGUUUCAAGGAGUGUCGAGAAAUGUUGAUGUCAUUUUUGUCAAGGAUUUUGCAAACUCAAUGAUGUUUUCUUGUUUGAAAUCUUUCUUGUUCUGGAAUCAAAUCUCAUUUCAACGAUCAUGUCUAUUCAAGUCUAAUUGUUGAAAUGAAAUCAGAGAGAUAUCUGUUUUUGAAAAUUAUUUUGAAAUUCAAACUUCUUUGGUCAAAGACCCAACACACUAUUCAAUGCAGUCCUUUGAUUGUCUUGUAUUUUGAAAACAGAAAUGACCCGUUGUAAGAUUUAAAAUGACUUUUUCAUGGUUCUUUGUGUCCACUUUAAACUCUGAUUUUGGGUAUAUCUUUUUGGUUGUGAUGAGGUGAUUUUUAUGAAUUUCAAAAACAAGAUGCUCAGGCUUUAUCAAGAAAGGUUGUUUCUUUUCUUAGCAUUUAUUUUAUCAGCAUGCAUAAUAACCAGUAGCUUAAUUCAUGAAGUCACGACCCUUAUGGAAAAACUCUUCAAGUUUUGAGAGCGCCAUUUAUCGUUCAAAGUUGCUUGCUUGAUUAAAAAGGGCUUUUAAAAGCACGUAAUGCAGGCUAUGGUUCAUGGCUAAAAGAAAGAAUUUCAAGGCUCAAAAGGUGUUUGAGGGUUUCAACGACCUAGGACCAACAUUAACUAUUCAUCGAUUCUCUUUCUCUUUUGUCAUUGUAGAGAAAGUGACAUAUAACCUUGUUAAUCUCAAAUAUCAGAAUUCUCUUAACAUAGGUCAUAAUGCAAAUCCAACUUUUCUUUGAUGAAUAACUAAUCUAAUUUUGAAGACAUUAGAGGCUCUAUCCUAGACACACCAAAAGAUAUGAAGCAUCGAUUUUUCUAGUGUUGACUUUUGGUAUUUAUUGUCUUUUCUCAAUUGAAAACUGUCUUGCCUCUCUUAGAAUUGAUAGACAUUCCUUUUCCAUUUCUUUCAUUUUUUUUGCAUAGCCUUCCUCAAAGUUUUUCUUGGAUGGCCCUCAAUCUAUGGAUUUUCUUCUUCUAGCCCUUUCUCAAACAUUGGACUUUUGUUCUAAGCUUUUCUUUGAUCCAUUGAUUUAUGUGUCUCCAAAAUAUUCUCAUUUGCCCCCAGUGUGGGGUGUGAUCCUAGUCAGGGUUUUUUGAAAGAAAAUAUUUCACCAGCUCAAAAUGGGACUACAAGGGAUAAUUUUAGAAAGUGAAGGAUAUCAAAGAUGGCCUUUUCUCAUUUCAAGCAAGGUCGGUUAGAACCGAUAAAUUUUGACCUCAUCUAGUGUAAUGAUUGGACUUGUAAGAGUCAUGAUUCACGAGUCCAUAACUACCAAAUCCACUACAUGUCAUUAUGCAUACUGCUAAAACUUAGCUAUAUGAUGUGUGGUUCAAUUUAGUGUGAGUUCAAAAUUUGUUCGGUCACCUCAUGUCAUUUCAACAAGAAUCGAGUCAUUUCUGCAAUCAAAACACUUUUAAUCUUCAGGAUUGAUUAACCUUUAUCGCAUGUUGGAGUUUGAUCAAAAUAUUUCGUCAAAAAACCCUUUGAAAGAAGUAUCUCUUGAUUUCAAAACAAUAAGAAGACAAAAAAACAUGUUUCGUUCAAGGAGGAGAUGUGAUCCCAAAACAAAAUGCAAAAUGGCAAAAAUCCAUAACAAAAAUGCUUGACAGUUUAACUCCUUCUUGGAUCAACUUCUCUAGCAAUAUAUAUGUUUUGCCAAGCAAUUCCGAUCAUUUGUCAUUCUAAAAAUGAUUGAUGACAUCAUCUUUUGCAAAUUGAGCUCGACUCUUGAAACUCUUUCAUCUGUUUAACUAAAAUGGCCGAGGACCCCCACCAUGACAACACAUCUCUUGUCCAGAUUGAACCACCUAAAAAAUAGUGGUUAGAUGGGAUUUGUCGAAGUCAAGAAAAAUUCUAGAAUCUGGCAGAUGCUGGUCGACAAACUUAAGUGGCAGAGGAAUAUCCAUCUUGGCAAAGACAUUUGAGCAAUUGAUGCUUGAGCGAGACUUGACUAGGCCAAAUAACUGAGGUUUCUCAAUCGAGAGUCAUCUUCUGAUUCAACUCUCUUCACAGUUCUGGAAUUUAUAACAAAACCUUCAAUCCUUCACUUCUUCAUAGCUCACUCAAUUCUUUCGAUGAUCCUCACAACAUCAUGUCACUCUUCCAAUGUUGUUGUGGUUGGUUGAGGGUUGUUGGAAAACUUUCCAACAGCUUGGUAAUCUUGGCAGCGCCCAAAAACUUGUAGAAUCAUGCUUUAUCUCUUCUAUGGGAGAAAAUGAUGAACAUGAAUCUCCUCUAUUUCUUCUUCGAUUCCUCUUGAACGGUGCAGCAAACAAGCACCAAUAGAGGGAGUUCUGCUCUGUGGAAGUUUCAGUCUUCUUCAUGUUUUUCAUUUUAGGCAUGUCUCUUCUCUCUACUUUUGCGUUUUAAUACUGACACUGUUGGAGGAAAAUCAUAGAUGAUCUGAAACUACUGUAUUCCUUCUUGGAUUUCCCACUUGCGGAUCCACAAACAGAUUCCUGUCGAGAGAGCUCUGCUACGUUGAAGUUUGAUGUCUGCUCAUAUUUUUCAGACCAGGUCUGGCUCUUUGCCUACUACAAUGUUUUGCUUGUGCCACUGGUGGGAAAAUGUUUUUUCAAAGCAUAUGAAAUUAAUACAUCCCCUUUUGAAUUUUCCAUUGGCAGAUCCACAAAUAAAUCUCUAUAGAGAGAGCUCUACCGCGUAGAAGUUCAGUGUCUCAUCAUGGUUUUUCAGACCAACAUCUUAUGCUGCUGAACUGGAAUUGAGCUCAUAAUUGGGGUAACUUCAAAGUAGACUAGUGCAAAAUGAACAUAAGGCUAGUAGUCGUUUGGUUGCAUUAGAUGAUGUGGAGGCGAUGAACACUUAACAGUGCAACUGGACAGGAAUCAGAGUUGUCAUUAGUUGAUGACUGAAGGCAUUGUUGCUGUUGUUCAUGAAUGAAAAUGAGAGAUACAACUUCAAUUGGACGUGAACAAGCAGUGUUCCCACAGAAGACUGUGCAGACACUCUCUUUCCAUUUAAUGCUCAACACUUGUUUGAGCAAAUCUCAGUCCAGCUACUUCGUCUUUGAUGCUCUCAACCUUAAUCUUAUAAUGAGCCUCUAUCUGACAUCUUUCUUCACUUCCAUCAUUUUUCUUCAAUCACGUACAGCACAGCUUGUGCGGGGGAACCUACUUUUCAACCCAGUACAUGCAUGAUAAAUGUAUGAACAUGUAAUCUAUAUGAUGAACUCGCCCUUCAAAGGGUGACAAUAUGGUCGUAACUCUUGUAUGAUGGAACAAGAAUCGUGAUUUUUGCCCAAGCUCUACAAUGAAAAUUUUCGGAGUGAUGACCAUUGUGUCACCCAUAAGUCUUUAGUUCAAGAUGCUUCAAGAAGGGUUUGCUCAGAUGCAAAACAAAUAUUUACGGAGCAUACAUCUUACAGCAGGUUCUAAUCUUUUUACGUGAGACAAAGGAUAGGUUUACUACUUGGUGUCUAAAAAAAGGGUCUCUUGUUGUCCCAGUGAUUACCCUCGUAAAGGCAAUAUAGGGGCCCGGUAGGUAAUGGAUUGGCACGUGUACCAAUAUUUAUCAGUCUAAGCACUCAACAAAGAGUUGGGGUUUACACAAACUUAAACCUUGACUCAAGUCAUAAGGUAAGCUGCUAGUCCCCCACUUAACUUAAAGUUUAAUGUGUGUGCUCUCAAAAAUAAACAAAGGUGAUGCAUGAGACAAUUCUAUAAAAUGCAUNNNNNNNNNNNNNNNNNNNNNNNNNNNNNNNNNNNNNNNNNNNNNNNNNNNNNNNNNNNNNNNNNNNNNNNNNNNNNNNNNNNNNNNNNNNNNNNNNNNNAGUGAAUUAAUAUUUGAUCUCCAGCAUUUGUUGAAAAUGAAGCAUGGUAUUUUCCUUCAAACGAACCCAUGCCUCAACGCCAUCGCCAUCGUUAGAGUCCAAUAGCAAAAUCCCCUCUAUUGGUGCAUACACGCUACUCACCCAUUCUGGCCUUUCCCAACCAAAAUCUGCUUCAUAAAUUGGAAACCGACUCCAGGAAUUAAACAAAUAGACAUCUAUUUCAGUUGUUUCAAAUAUUUCUUUCAUCUUAAGCAUCUUGUUUGUCACUAUUGAAAUUAUGUCAUCACCAUUCGAAGCUUUAGCACAUUCUGAGAAAGUGCUACUCAUUUCUUCAUGGAUUCGAUUUACCACAUCAUGAAGCUGCACUGUGCUGUCAUCACCUGGAAUGAAUUGUGCAAUUGACAUGGUUCCAAAAUUUCCACACAUAUUCCCUGGAAUCGGUAGCGCUGUCCUCCUUCUCAUGUCAACUAUGUGUGUUAGAUAAGAAGGACAUAAGCAUCCAUGUCUGGCUUGAGAGGCCUUGAUGAGAGCCCUCCAUAUGAAAGCUGUCACCACUUGCACUCGUGAUGGUUCGUAUUUCAGCGAUCCUGAAUUAUUAACGUUGACAUGAGCAGCUGCUUUCAGACUUGAUAGAGCUGCGCCAUUAAACACAAUCCUUUUCUCGACAAUCGUGUUAUCUCUUUUGCUCCUCGGAGAAAAAGUCUUGAUGGAAGACAUAUCUUUUGGUGGGCAGAAGGAAGACAAUUGGAAACUUGGGGAGUGAACUUUGUCGAUUCCUAUUCUGCACGCGGUAGCCCAAGCAUCAACAAAUGUAAACAAAGUGAAUCCAUCAACUAUCUUGUGUGUCACAGAUAUACCAAUGGCAAGUCCACCACAUUCAAACAUGUUGAACUGAACUAUAAGCAAAGGGCUUUCUUCUGGUUGAAAUAAUGGUGGAGCUAAAUGAUUCCUCAGCUCGGUUACAAGCUCUCCUUCCUUGAGAAAUUCAGAGAGGCAACCACUUGCUUUGGCUUCCAAAUAUUCUGCCCCAUUGUCGUUACAAUCAAUGAAGACACUUCCUUUCACGUAUCUUCCUCCAAGUGGGUAAUAAAGGGUCAAGAUUUCUGAUAAGGAUUUUUGCAACUGCUUGCUUUUUUCUGCAGUAUUAACACAAUCUUCUUCACCACUGGCUGGGUAGUAGAAAAUGCACGAUGUGUAAUGAUUUGAAGGAAAAUUCUGAUCUAAACAAGAUAUUUUCAAUUUCUGAAGGUUGAGUGGAGUUGGAGAUGAUGGAGUUAUCAACUUUCUAGCUAAGAUCUGAACCUUCAUAUUCGAAUUCUUUCGCUUUCGCUUUGCAAGAGAUGAUGUAUAGAUUUUUGUGAAGAAAUUUCACACAAGCUAGAGGUUGGAUUGCUUGAAAAACUUCUGUAUAAACAAUAUAAAAUGUCUGCAGUGAUUAUUUAAGCUGAUUCUGGUGCUUUGUUCCCAGCAAAACUGCUAAAAGAUUUUAUAUUAUACCUCGGGAAAAGGUGGGGUGGGGAGUAGUUAAGCUGUCUACUACUCUUCUGUUGGCAUUGCCCUAACUUGUGAAUCCUGAGACGUUGAAUUUUAUUAGUUAAUUAACUUAAGCUAAUCAUGACAUUGACAAAAUAAAAAUAAAAAUAAAAAAUGAAUUAAAUAUUUUAUACAGCAUCUGUCUUUUGGGUCCCUGGCUAGCACUGGAAACCAGAGAAGACAGCCUCUUCAAAAGUUGAUGAACUUGUACAUGAAAAUGUCCUGUCACCCCUUGGUCUUACAAGGGUUGAUUUGUUGUCUGGCUGGUAUAUAUUAGGUACAUUCCUGACGACGUAAUGAUUUCGAAAGAUGCUUGAUGCAGUGAUGCUCUGUAAUUGUUGAGACAGAGAAACUGGCGCUCCAGACUAAUGCUCUAUCUGUAUUUCCCCAUUCUACAGUUCCUCUGCAAUUGUUGAGACAAAGAAAUUGUUGAGACUAAUGGAUCGGGAUUCUAGAAUCUCAAUCCAUUAGUCUCCUUGAAAAUGGCAGAUCUUAAUUUUUCUAACCUAAACCUCAAAAACCCAUAACAAUUCAAUUAACCCAUCAUACUAUAAUCAAUUCAUCUAUUAAACUCCAAAAACACAAAACUCCAAAACCCUAAAUCUCAUCAAGUCUAAAACCAAAGCUAAUUACAACAAUUAUACUUAUCAAAACAUAAAUCUUACCUUAAUAACUCAUUUCUUCAAACUUAUCUUCUCCUUCCUUUAUCUUUCACUCUCUUUCUUUCUCCUUUCCACUACCGGUUCUCUCUCUCUCUCUCUAAUUUCAGAUUCUCUCUUUUCUUUCCUUUUGUUUUUCUCUUCUUUUUAUAUUUAUUAAUUCUUUGUGCAAUUAUCUAAAUUUCCCUCAUUCAUUUAUACGUAAUAUCCACUCCUCUAAAGGGCAUUGUUUCAUUUUCCUACUCGAACCCCUCUUUUCAUUUGCCAAGAUGCUAGCUAAUAGCCAGCAGGUAACAUUCAAACAUAUACUUCUAAUAUCAUGCUUUGAGAAUGGAGAUCGCCCUUGGCAUCUGGAUAUCUCAUAUAUAUGCAAACAUUUCCAGACUGAUAUUGCUCUUUCUAUAUUUUCCCGUUCUGAGUUUCCUCUGUGGAAAGAUAUUAAAAGACCUGAUUGUGCCACAUGUCAAGAGAUUAGAGAAUCAAGCAGUUAAAAUUCUGUUAAGCAGUUAAAGUUCUGUUAAUAAUGUUAGACAGUUAAGAAAGUUUGUUAGUAUUGAGGUGAGAAGCUUGUUCACAUCUAUAACUUGAUAUAAAAAGAUCUGUAACAGUGUAAAACAGAGUAAUGAAUUACAGUGAACACAUUCUUCUUCUUCCAUCACCUAUCAGACAUUCUCUCUGCUUAGUUUUCUAGUGUAUUCCUGUGAAAAUCUGCAUCUUAACACUCUGUAAUUGUUGAGACAAAGAAAUGGGCGCAUAAUGGCACUGCAUGGUGAUGAAGAAGUAGCUAACAAGCAGGUGAUAUUAAAAGACUAUGUCAUGUCUGGUUGUCCUAAGAAUUCAGACAUGAAUGUGAUCACCAGUUCUAUCAAACUUGAAGGUGUUUACGUGCUUGAGUAUUAUGUAAGAAAAGAAAGUAGAAGAGAAUUUUAAAACAGCAAUGUUAUUGAUGCUGCAGUAUUAUUAAGAAAGGAUUGAAUACAGAAUUGCUUAAUGUUUCACAGCAAUCUUAAUCAUUUGAUAAAAUUGCUGUUUGAUCAAAUUAGAGAUGUUUCAUGCUAUUAGGAUAAGGAUGAUGGACUCUGUAAAUGUUUUGAAUCAAGGCAAACAAUCACCAGUACAAUAUGUUUCAAAUUUGUUGAGUUACUUCUCUUGGGUAUUCUUUUGCUACCUGCAGUGAGUAUUCUUCGGAAUCAUCUUCAGAUAACGAUGAACAGAUUGAACAAUAACAGUACUUUUGGGAUUUUAAAUGAUGGUUCUGAAAUUACCUUUAUGUCAAGGGGAUACAAUUCUUCUUCCAUCUGACAGUAGUGGAGAAAAACUAGCCAGCAAGUUUUUGAAACAGAAGUAGCACCAUUAAAACACAGAAAGCUAGAGCUGAACCUAUUUUCAAUGUAAAAAACAAAAAAAGCAGUUUAAUUUGUAUCUAAUGGUAAAUUCAAUAACAGAAAAGAUGUAGAUGGAGCAGCAAAUGACACAAGAAGUUAUCGAAAUUCCAAACCAUACCUCAGUGUGUUAAUAUAUUGUCGUUCUAUACACAAUGGACAACAUUGAUGUUUCCUUAUGCUUACUCUUUGUGUUUGCUCACUAAUACAUGACAAGUAAUUGGAUCCAUGAAUUCUUUUUUAAAUUAAUAGUACAAUGACGAAGAAAACAUACUCUUAUUUAACCCUUCAUAACAAAUAAAAAUUUAUCUAUUAUAAGACUAAAUUUUAAAAUAUUUUAUUCCAUAAAGAUAUUAAAUAAAUUCUUUAAUCAAUAGUAAUAAAUAAUAUUCUAAAAUUUGAUCCAUAAUGUGUUUAUGUCUAAAUAUCUUAGUCUUUUAAAUAAAUUCACAACAUUAUAAUUUAUCUAUAAAAAACGUCAUAACUUGUCUAAAAUAUUAUCUAUCUAACAAGAAACAAGACUUCAAAAUUAAAAAUAAGUCAACCUUUGAUUUGGUUGAUUUUACAAAACAAGAUGAUAAUAUCAUAGCUAAGUGGCAUAAAAUGGGGAGUUUUCUUAAACCAAUCCUUCGACUAAUUGAGAUCAUCAGGUGAGAAUUUUUGCAUGAUCCAGAUUUUCCAUAGGCUGAACCCCCGAAUCAAAAAAGCUUUCCACUGCUGCCUUGUAGAAAAUCUCAUUGAACCAUGACGGGGAUGGUGAAGCAGAUGAUAUGGUGGAGAAGGUAUCGUUCUAUCGCUUUCAACUUCGGACUUUUGGUUAUCAAUCUUAUGAUCCGACGAUCCUGACCCUUCAAAUGAAGUCUCGUAGUAGUCAAUGUCAUGAUCCCCCUCUGAACCUUCAAAAUGAAGUCUCGUAGUUGUCAAGGUCAUGAUUCAUCCGUAGCAUUGCACCGUCAAAGCUCCAUCCAGAUGGUGUCUUUAUCACAUGGAUCCCACAUCGUACCACUUCACUGUUUUCGGACCUCAAUAUCAAAUGUAGUUCCAAUCCAUCAUCUCCAUAGUAUUUUUCCAUUGCCAUCUCAGGUUUACUUAUGACCAUUACCCACCUACGACGGAAAUAGGGUCUUGCAUGUGUAGAUUCGAACAAUGGAAUACCGUUUCUUUUAUUUUUUAUAAUAGCCUUGUAUUCUUGAUACCCACCACCACCUGAACAGACAACCCAAAUGAGCAAGCCUUCGAAAUCUGGAGGUAUAUGAAAUGAUAAUGAACACCCUUCUCCAUGGAACCAAUCUUGAAAGUCAUAAUAAUCAUAGGGAACCAUAAGAGCCUUGAAGGGAGUAUCAUACUCGUCACAAUGAUAAGCGAAGAUUUUCUGCAUAAGUAUCAAAUUCAAGGAAUGCUGAGAUUUUAGACACUGAUUAAUAUAUAUAUAUAUAUAUGCAAGAGGGACAGGACUAGUACCUCAAGAAGCCGAUCCUUGGCACGUUUUGAUAAAUUACUUAGACCUUGCUUGCCGUCAAUCUCAAUGAAAUUGUAAAGCGUAUAUUGAGACAGAUAUGGUGGUGCAGGUAUUACUACUCUAUCUCUUCCAACUUCAGACUCAUGAUCCCACUCUGACCCUCCAAAUGAAUCUGUCUUUUCAACUAUCACAUGGAUCCCACAUUCAAACACUUCAGCGUCUUCUCCCAUAUAAAGUCCCACGCACAGUUCCAAUUCCUCAUCUUCACAAUAUUCUUCCAUUGCCAUCUCACUUUUACUUGUGUAUGUCAUCAAAUUGCUAGCGGCCGUUCCAAUCCCAUCGCCCAGAAGUUCCACGCACAGUUCCAAUUCCUCAUCUCCAGAAUAUUCUUUCAUUGCCAUCUCACUUACACUUAUGUAUCUCAACCAACUUCUACAUCUUCUGGCGUAUACCGUUGCUUCAAACAAUUGAAUACCGUUGCUUUUAUUUUUUAUACACAAUUUGGCGGUACAAAUAAGACCUAUCAAGCGUUGACAGACAACCCCAAUGACCAAGCCUUGGAAAACUGGAGGUACAUGAAAUGAUAAUGAAGUUCCUUUUCCACGGUAGCUGAACCAAUUUGGAAUCAUAGUGAACUUAUCUCUGUGGCUGAACGUAUAACAGCGAUUGAAGACAAUUUGAUACCCGUAACCACCGUAGCACAGUGCCUGUGUGUAUAUAUAUAUAUAUAUAUAUAUAUAUAUAUUGAUUUCAAGGAAUGCUGAAUAUUAGACAUCAAAUAUGCCAAUUGUGUGCUUAUUUGUGUACAAGAGAGACAAAAAUAGUACCUCAACAAGACUUUUCUUAUAAUUAUUUGAUGACUUGUACCAGGGAACAGAGCGCAUAAUCCACCCAUGAUUACUUAGACCUUCCAUGCCUUGAAGCUCCUUUAAAUCCGGACAUCUAAACAGAUCCAGAUUUAGAUAUUUUUUUGCUUGGAUUGGUAGUCUUACCCAUUGCAUUGAUUUGCAACGAACUGUAUUCAAACGUUCUAAAUUUGAGGGAAGCUCUGGGAUUGAUACAAGAUUUCUGCAAUCAUCAACUAUCAAAAGCCGCAGCUUAGAAAGGAUGCCCGAUGCCAGAAGGCAAACUGAAGAAAUUGUUUCCUGAUAGAUCUAACUCUUCAAGAGAGGACAAACCUCCAAAAUCAACAGAAUUAGUUGCGCAUUCAGACAAACCAUAACCAACAAGUUUUAGCUUUUUCAAUACUCUCCAAACAGUGAAAGCUGGACUUAGCAAAGCUGAAAUCCAAGAAGAAUUUGGUGAAGGCUGAUAUGGUAAGUUCCAGUUGCAGUAUCCGCGCAAUGACAACUUCCUCACACACUUUAAAUGUCCAACUGAAGAGAGAAAUUUCUCGUUGUUAAUUCCAUCUGCUAGAAGAUUAGUGAAGGACUCGAUAUCACCUAUGCACUCCGGCAGCUCCUUAAGUUGUGAGCACCCUGAAAUAUUCAAACACACAAGAGACUUUGAAUGUCCAAUAGAUUCAUCUACCUCAACUAAACUUGAGCAACCUUCAAGCAGUAGUUUCUCUAGUCUUGAACUGUGCAAAUUUGGUGUUUUCACAAGGUUCUUUGAAUAACUGACAUCAAGGAUCUUUAAUUUGUUGAGAAUCUGUCAGAGCAGUGAGGAAAAUAAUUAACAAGUACUCAUCAAAAGUUGUAAAUAUAAAUUACAUAACAAACAUCUUUUUGGGCAUUUUGGUAUGUUUCACACCUUUUUUUCCUUCCAUAAUUGUCUGAUGUUACUGUACUUCAUAUCAAUAACAACGAUGUAAUCCAGUGCAAAAUUAGAUGGCAAAAAUCUCAAAGUACAUUCAAGCCAACAAAUCCACGUCAACACUUUAGAAAGCCGUUCGAAAGAUCCAGUGAAAAAUUAGAUGGCAAAAAUCUCAAAGUACAUUCAAGCCAACAAAUCCACGUCAACACUUUAGAAAGCCGUUCGAAAGAUCCAGUGAGAUCUACUCCGUUGAUUUGCAGUAAUUUUAAAUCUUCCAUAUUUGUAAAUGAUCCUGUGCUUAGUGAUUUGUCUUCUGAUCUUGUCACAUCCAGUGUAAGGCCUUUUACAAAAUUUGUUCCCUAAAAAAAAGCAAAAAAAGAAAAAAAAUUUAAAAAUCAAUAGAAUUUUCAUAUGAUUGUUUGUAAUAAGUUUGACAAUAGAGAUACACAUGAAUGUGCUUUUCUGUACGUAUGCAUUGAAUUCUUACCAUCUGCAUCUUGAGUACUUUCCACGCAUCCUCUUGACUCCAAAUUCUGCUCCUUUGUGCAGGAUUUUCAGGUGACUCAUCCUUAACGAUCCCCCUUCCCAUCUCUUGUAAUAGAUCAUGCAUGCUUAUCGUUCCAGAAUCAUCAACUUUAAUCAGAGACCUUUCAAUGAGAGUUCCGAAAUCAUCUUCUGGAUUGCAACCAUAACGUCCUUCUAGCACUUCUGCUACGUAUUCUUUCUGUCCACCAAUAAAGAAGCAUGAAAUAUCAAGAAAUGUAUUCUUUAGAAUUAGGGGCUUUUAGUGAGUCAAAACUUAUUCUAAGCCUUUCUUGAAUAGCAUGCUCUGGAAUUCUUCUCAAUCUGUCAAUUACAGAUUCCCAUCUAGCUUGGUUUUUCCCAAUCAAACAAGAACCUAAGACCUCAAGAGCUAAAGGAAGUCCUCCACAGUAUUCAACUACAUCAUUAGAAAGCUCAACAUAAUCUUUUGCUGGCUUGGCGUCCCUAAACGCAUGCUGACAGAAUAGCUGAAGGGAGUCACCCCGGUGCAAUUCUUGAACCUGGUAUCUUUGAUCAGCUUCAAGAAGUAAGCGCUCAUCUCUAGUUGUAAUUAUCACCCUGCUUCCGGGACCAAACCAGCUUCGCUCUCCCAUCAAAGCAUUUAAUUGGUCCAGAUGAUCCACAUCAUCAACAACAACAAGAACUCUUUUGCGGCAGAGGCGUUCUUUAAUCAGAACCUUUCCUCUAUCAACAUUAUUGAUCUUCUCAGUAUUUUGUCUUAAAAUAUCAUGAAGUAGUUGUUGUUGUAAAAGAACCAAAUCAUUAGGUUCUGAUUUUUCUUUGACAUUCAAAAGAAAAGAGAUUCCCUCGAAUCCAUAUCCAAAGCCAUAGCAGAGUUGAUUAAAUACAACUUUUGCUAUAGUCGUCUUUCCUAUUUCUGGCAUCCCAUGUAAGCCCACAAUGCGUACAUCAUCUGCUGCAGUACUUAGGAAGUGAAAAAUAUUGUGAGCAAGCGGAUCAAUACCUACUAGGUGCUUAGGAACAUGUAAGUACUUGGGGUCCAAUUUAGUCAGCACAUCCUUGAUAAUCUCUUGGAUAAAUUUUGCUUCAUGCCUGUUCAUAGACAAAAGCAAGUCAUUAAUAGCGAGACAAUUAUGUUCAAAAUGUAUUUUAUUGUUUCACAUUGUAAAAUAUGUGAUGUAUAAUGACUCCAUAAAUGUGUGGAAGUGAAUCUUAUAGAUAAAAGGCAUACCCAUUUGCCAAAUCUUUGAGAUUCCAUCCAGAUAGAUUUCCUGCCUCUUCAAGAGCUUCUCUCCACUCCUUCACCUUCUCUUUAGAACGUUCUUCAUGUUUAACAAAUGCUUCUGCAAAACUACCAGUCUGUUUUCUCACAUAUGAAGGAUCAAUGUCAUAGAAUAUAGGAAGAGCAAUCUGACCAGUUUUCCUAUAUUUACACUUCAGAAUCUCCACAAGUUCAUCAAGACACCAUCUUGAAGAAGCAUAUCCUUUUGAGAAGACCACUAUAGAUAUCUUUGAUUCUCGAAUUGUCUUGAGGAGAUGAUCGGAGAUUUCUUCUCCUCUAGGAAGUUCAUCAUCAUCUCGAAAAGUGUGGAUUCCUGCUUGGACUAAGGCAAUAUAUAGAUGAUCUGUAAAUGUCUUGCGAGUAUCUUGUCCUCUAAAACUCAAAAAGACAUCAUAGGCCCCCUGUGGUGUAGAUGGAGAAGAAUCUGGCUCUGUCAUGGCAGCUGCAGAAAUUAAGGCAUGAUUAAUUGGCAAUGAAGCGAUUGCAGGAGGUAUCUGCUAUCUUGUAAUUAUAACUAGUAAGGGAUGCAUGUGAAGUGAUCAUCAGAGACAACACAUAUAUAUGAAUGUGCUGAGUAGGAAUUUCAACGCAAUUACUAUUAGAGAGUAAGCUAAGAAAAUCAUCCAUUCAUUGAGUUUCACCUAAUACUUCAAGUUUAAGAACCAGAGAGCAUAAAACAAUAGCAUUUAAAAAGCUUACUGAGGUCAGCUUUUCUUCUCUUUCGCGAGGAUGAACCAUUUUCUUCAUCUUUGGAUUGUUUACGUUUUUCUUUCGGCAUUCUAAAAUAGAAUGAUCUUGUUCUAGAAGACAUGUAAGGAAUUCUUUGUGUUCAUAUUUAAUUGAAUUCUAAACUCAUCAAUGACGUCUAUCUGAACAUAAAGCUUUCAAAUUAUUGUUAUGAGUGAAGACAUGAAAUUAAAACAAGAAAGAAGCAAAGAAGAGGCAUAAGCUAUAACAAAGGGUUGGUUGGAUUCCACAAGCUAUGAAAUUGCAGCAAUCGGGAACGGUAAUUUAUUUCAACUACCCAAACAUAUUUUUCAAUUUGUUUUUCAAUUUACAUGUAGUUUCAAAGAAGCAAAGAAGGGUUAUAUACUAGCAAAAACAUGACAGCAUAAAAUCCCGUGUAGCAAUUAUCUUGUUUGGCAAUCUUCUUAGUGUUAAUAUUGCUGUAAAACUAAAUGCAUUCAUGCAAUCAGAAGCAACAAUCGCAAAGGUUACCUCAAUAUGGUGUUUGAGUUGUUCGGAUUCCACCGACCUGGCGACUUUAAAGAUCAAAUUGCAGCUCUCAGAAAGGACUGAAGGAUAGUUGAGGCAAUAUUGUGUCGGAGAAAGAAUGUAAAUGCUUUCUUGCAAAUUAUUAGAGCAAUAUAUGCAAUAAUUAUCAAAGAUGAAGCGUAACAUGCAUAGGAAAGGGAGCAAGGAAAUUUCUUUAGCAGCGUGUGAUCAAGCUAAUUUCCCGGUUGUUGCUGAGGAAUAAUUGUACAGGAAAAAGAGGAAGGAAAUUUCUCUAGCCGCGUAUUUCAUUGUUCUUUUUUUCAAAAGUAGCCGCGUAUCUCGUUCUUCUUUUUUUCAAAUGAAGAGAUGACAGAAUCACAUUGUGUCUAUCACCAUUGAUUACAAAAGCAAGUAUCUCUCAGCCCUACUAUUUGGUUUGUGGGUCCAAUCUGAUACUUGUUAAUGUAAAUAUUUUAUAAUCAUUAUAUUAAUUUUAUUCAUUCAAAUUUAUUUAUUAUUAAAAAAACAUCUUUUUAUCUUUAACAUUUAUUGAUGUUUGAUUAACGAGUCUAUAGUAAAAAUAAAAUUUUUGAGAUAAAAAUAUUUUUUAAUGAAAAUUAUUAAGUAAUUAUAAUUAUAACAUUUUAUUUAUAUAAAAACGGUAUUCCUAAAUGUUAUUAGUUAAUGCUCUAUUAAUAAAGGACAUUAAUUAGAGUUGUUAAGACUAUUUUAAAUUAUAUAUGUUCUUUCUUUUUGUGAAAAAGAAACAUUUGUUCUCACAAGUUAAUGUAUAGAGAAAAUCUAGAUCUAAUUAUAUGUAGAUGCGUGUCAGAUAACAUAUUCAUUAAACUACAUUGCAUAAGAAUUUCAUAUAGAUAAAUAUCAGUGUUUAUGGAAAGGCUCGUACAGUAAUUGUAUAAGUAUUGAUCAUUAAACUUAAGAUCACUAGGUUAUUUUAUAUAUGAAAUGUUAUGUUUUGAUUCUAGCUAUACGUUGUUUUAAUCAAUAGUAAUAAAUAUGUAAAUAUUGGCUAUAACAUGAACUAUAUAUGAAUUAUUAUUAUAUACAAUUAUUGUUAUGAGUUUCACAUGUUCUCAAAUAAUAUUUAAUAUGAAAUCUUUGCGUAAGGUGGAAUAAGAUAUGAAAAAAGUUUUAAAUCUUAUUUAAAGAAUCAAUUUUUAUGUUGUUGAGACCAUACAUGAUUCGACAGGGCACACACAUUUCAUACUCAAAUGUCUAAAUCGUAGCAUUAUAGGUAAAUGGAUAAUAAUUACACUAAGAAUCUGAUCACUAAAAAUUUAAAUUAAACCAUAUAUGAUUUUCCUUAUAUUUGAGAGAUUAUGAUACAUUACUAGAUAGUACACUUGAUCUUUAAAGAUAAAUCAAUUAAUUAUUGAUGAAUUGAUAAUAAAUUAAAUUAUAUAAUUUAUUUAAUUGAAUUUUAUUUAGAAUUAUAAUUUAUAUUUGAAUUAAUAUAUUAAAAACUUAACAAGUCAUACACAUUAAGAAUCAAUGGUUGAUUAAAUCUUGAUUUCCCGAUAUUUUGAAUCAAAUUACAAUGUUAGGCUAAACUUAAUAACUAUAUUGUAUAAUUGAUAUGAUAAACUUUUUAUAUAUAUAUAAAGACAUGUCAUGCUUUCUGUCAUUUCAAUCAAAUAUAAAAUCGUAAAACAUUGUAAAACUUCACAAAACUUAACUAUCAAGUUAUCUAGUAUUUUAAUGAAAGUUGAAGGACAACAUUUUAAUUUAGUCAGCACAUUUUGUGUGUUAUUAAAGACUUCCAGUCAGUCAAUGCGGGUAUGAACACUAACUCUUUUUUUUUUUUUUUCCACACACAAUUGUUUUGUUUGGAAUUUAUGGGUUUUUGUUCUUGUAAAAUAACAGUGUUUCUCACACGGCGCUUGUAUUCAAGUUCUUUAUCGGUGUUUUCUGUCUUGCAUCAUCGUGUUUUUAAGAAUUUUAAAUUGUUUUUUGUUAAAAAUAAUUUUUUUAUAUUUUCAAAUUAUUUUGAUUUAUUAAUAUUAAAAUUAAUUUUUUAAAAAAUAAAAAAUAUAUAUAUAUAUAUAUAUAUAUAUUAUUUUAAUAUAUUUUUAAACCAAAAAUAUUUUAAACUAUAAUAACUAAUAUAAUUCCAAACAGAUAUUAAACACAACCGCUAGUCAUGAUGGACAGUUUACAUGGGAACAGACGAAGGAGUAAAGACUUAGACUUUGGUGGAUCGAUGGACGAUGGGAAUAGCUAAUAUUAUCAUCUACUAACUAUGAACCUUCUUGACUCUUUAGUAUAUUAUUUUUAUAUUUUAAAAAUAAUAUUUAAAAAAUUUAAAUUUUAUUUUAUUUUUUUAUUAACUUUAAAUUAAUAUGUUUUUAGUUUUUUAAAUUAUUUUAAUAUAUUAAUGUUAAAAAUAAUUUUUAAAAAAUAAAAAAAUAUUAUUAAUAUAUAUUUUAAUAUAAAAAAUUAUUUAAAAAACAAUCAUUUUAAAUCUUUCUCCCCCGUCUGCAGCAUUGAUUACAAAACCGCGUUGUUGGGUAUGUCAUUGGCAGCAUGAUAGCAUCACAAUCAAAUGGCAUAAUUUUCCACUCGGGAAACUCAGAAGACCCUCGCCCUCACGCUCCCGUCUCCAUUUAUUUGGCUGCUAAUUCCAUCUAUCAGCCCUGCUUUUUUUUUUUUUUUUCCUGGGUCUAGUCUGAUACUUUUAUUAAUUUUAUUCAUAUAAAAUAUAUUUUUAUUUAAGAAAAUAUAUUUUUAUUUUUAACAUUAUUUAAAAGUUGUUAUUAAUUUUAUUCAUAUAAAAUAUAUUUAUUAUUUUAAAAAAAUAAAAUUAUUAUUUCUACCGUGUUUUUGAGAAACCCGACAAUAACAUCAUAAUCAAAAAGUAUAAAUUUCCACGGACAACUUGCAAAUACAUGGGACAGCUCUAACCAUUUUUUUGUUCUUGUUUGUUGAUUUGCUAAUUUGUGUUAAAGGGAGGGAAAGGGACUGGAUCUAUAUAAUCCACCUUUCAAUUCUUUGUGUUCAUAUUUAUGUUGAUUCAUUCUUAGCGUUUUAAGGGAUUUUCGGCUGGUGACUAGUCUAGUACAUUCUAUUUGGUAAUGUGAUCCGGAGGCUUUCUUUUUCUUUUCUUUUUCUUUUUGUUAAAAACAUCUUGACCAUUUUGAAUUUUAACAAGGCAGUGCAAGGGCUUCCAAAAGUGUAGGAAAAAUAAAAAGUAUUAUUAAAAAUUUCUAAUUCAAUUUAAUUUAGUGAUUUCCAAAACAAGCAAUAGUUUUUGAAAUUGGUGCUUUUCUUCAACUAUUCUCCUGGAUUUUGUUUAAUCAAUAACAUGACAUGAUUGUUUUGGCAAUUGUUUUUGCUAAAAACAUGAUUGUCAUAGCCAUUUUGCACCCUAUUUUUCUAGCAAUGCAAAAGAGAAAAACAACAUGGAGAAAAGGCUAGCAGAAACAGUUGUAUAUUGGAAUUCUUGUUUUGUUUUCUUUUUCUUUUUCUUUUGUAUUUGAUUUUUAUUUUUAUCAAGAUUAGGUUGCCGGCAAGUGUGAACUGAACUUGUUGGAGGAAAGAUGUUGGAUGCUGUGCUGCUCAACAUGAGGUUGCGUGGACGCAUUGCUCUGAGCCCGAGCAUAGAUAAAUCUACCAAACUCAACAUUAAUCUUUGAAUUAGACAUAUCUUUCUUUGAUAAAAUUAGAGAUGUUUCAUGCUAUCAGUAUAUUCUAUUUGGUAAUGUGAUCCGGAGGCUUUCUUCUUCUUCUUUUUUCCUUUUUGUUAAAAAAAUCUUGACCCUUUUGAAUUUUAACAAGGCAGUGCAGGGGCUCUCAAAAGUGUAGGAAAAGUAAAGGGUAUUAAAAUCAAGAGUGAACUUGUAUAAUUUUACAAGUAAAUAUAUAUAUUUAUUAUUUAAAAUUAUAUAAAAAAAUGAUAAAACUGGUCUAAAAUCAUGAUUUUACUAUUGAUUUUAAAAUAUUUUUAAAUUUUCAAUUCUUAUCUUCUUCCAUGCAUACUCUUAUGUUUACUUACUCAUAUAUGAGUCCACUAGCAAAUUUGGAUUAUUUGCUAACAACUCAUAAUUUCUUAGAGUUGUUCUGUAUAAUAUGUGUUUAGUUAUAUAUCUUAAUUUUAAGUUGGACCUAUAAUAAUGAUUUUUUUUAAGAUGAUUUCUUAACUGCUUGUGUGGAAUUAAUUUUCCACUGUAAUUUAAUUUGAAUUUAAUUUAUAAAUAAAUUAAAUUUAAUAAAUAGAAUUCAAUUCAUUUUAGUUUUUAUAUUACCUUCAUCACCUUCAUCUCAUUUCUUCAAAGUUAUGUAAAAAAAAAAGAUAGGUAUUUUAAAAAAAUAAUUUUAACAUUAAAUUUUUUCUAUUUGGAAUUAUAAAUCAGAGGAUUAAUAUCUAAUUUAUUUUGAUAUAAUUUUUAGAGAUUGAAUUCUAUGUAAAAUAUGUUAAAUAACACUAAAAAUAUUUUAAAUAUGAAAUAUUAUUAAAAAGUUUUAAUUUAAUUUAGUGAUUUCAAAACAAGCAUGAGUUUUUGAAAUUGGUGCUUUUCAACCGGAUAGGUUGGGAGAGGGACAAAAAAAACUUCUGCCGUGAAGAAAGCCCAAUUUCAUUCGAAUCAUUUUUGCUCUUCGUUUCUUUCUUUUACAACAUGAAAGUGAUUUCUCUUUUUGGUGUAUUUUUAGUACUUAAAAGAACAUGUUAAUUGGACCAAAAAGUUCACCUUUUUUUUUUAAAAAAAAUUGUUCUUGUUUGUUGAUUUGCUAAUUUGUGUAAGGGGGAUGGUUUAAAGUAUGGUUGUGGUUGUUUUCUAAAAUAUUUUUGCUCACAAAUAUAUUAAAAUAAUUCUUUUUUUAUUUUUUAAAAAUUAUUUUUGACAUCAACACAUUAAAAUGAUUUAAAACAUAAAAAAAAUAUUAAUUUCGAUUAAAAAAAUAAAAAAUAUUCAAGUAUUUUCAACCAAUGUUGAUUCAUUCAUAGAUUCAUAGGUUAUAAGGGAUUUUGGGCUAGUAACCAGUAUAUUCUAUUUGGUAAUGUGAUAAAAGCUUUUUUUUUUUUUUUUUGUUAAAAAAAUCUUUUGACCCUUUUGAAUUUUGACUAAGCAGGGCUUUGAAAAGUGUAAGAAAAAUCAAGGGUGUUAAAAUCAAGAAUUAACUUGUAAAAUUAUAUGAUUUUAUAAAUAUAUAAUCAUCAUCCAAAAUUAAGUUAACAUAAAAAACUGAUAAAACCAGACUAAGAUCAAGUAAAAUCAUGUAAAAUCUACCCAUUUUACAAUAAUUUUAAAUUUUUAAUUAUUAUCUUCCUCAAUGCAUGCCCUUGUGUUUACUCAUUAAUGCAUGAGCCCACAAGUGCUUGUAUCUAUGGAUUCUUUCUUUAAACAAUAGUGCAAAGAUGAAGAAAACAUGGUCUUACUUGAACACUUCCUAACAAAUAAAAAAUUAUUUAUUACAGAACAAAACUUUGUAAAUUCUUAUUUCAUAAAGAUAAUUUUACGGACAAGAGUGACAAACAAUACUCUAAAGUCUAAUCUAUCAUGUGUCUAUGCCAAAAUAAUAUCAUAGUCUUUUAAACAAGUUUACAACAUUAUGAUUUAUUUAUAGAAAAUCCCAUAACUUGUCUAAGACAUAAUCUAACAAGAAACAAGACUUCAAAAUUAAAAAGAAGGUACAACUUUGAAUUGUUUGAUUUAUUAUUUAUUUUAGAUCAUAUAGGGUCUACAAUUCUUUAAUGAUUCUCUUAUUGAAGUUCAUAGUGUGUAACAAACAAUAUCAGUCUGUUGCUAUCUAAAAUAAAUACUACAUUAAUUUAAUUAGUGAUUUUACACAACAAGAUGAUAAUAUCAUAGCUAAGUAGGCAUAAAGUGGGGAGUUUUCUUAAACCAAUCCCUCGAUUAAUUGAGAUCAUCAGGUAAGAAUUUUUGCAUGACUAUUGUUUUCCAUAGGCUGAACCCCCGAAUCAAAAAAGCUUUCCACUGCUGCCUUGUAGAAAAUCUCAUUGAACCAUGACGGGGAUGAUGAAGCAGAUGAUAUGGUGGCGAAGGUAUCGUUCUAUCGCUUUCAACUUCGGAGUACUCUUGGUUGUCAUUCUCAUGAUCCGACGAUCCUGACCCUUUAAAUGAAGUCUCGUAGUAGUCAAUGUCAUGAUCCCCCUCUGAACCUUCAAAAGACUCUUUGUUGUAAAUGUCAUGAUCCAACGCUGGAGUUUGAUCGUAGUUGCUCCGUCCAAAUGGAUGUAUCACUACAUGGAUCCCAGAUCGUACCACUUCACUCUUUUCGGACCUCAAUAUUACUUAUGAUUCCUAGCCACCUACUACGGAAAUAGGGCAUUGCAUGUGUAGCUUCGAACAACUGAACACCGUUGCUUUUAUUUUUUAUAAUAGCCUUUAAUUCUUGAUGCCAAGUAGCACCUGAACAGAGAGCCCAAAUGACCAAGCCUUCGAAAUCUGGAGGUAUAUCAAAUGAUAAUGAACAUCCUUCUCCACCGUAGCUGAACCAUUUUGGAAUGAUGGAAUAAUCGUAGGGAACGGAAAAAGCCUUGAGGGGAAUAAAAUACUCGAGAAAAUGAUAAUUCAAGAUUCUCUGCAUAAAUAUUGAAUUCAAGAAAUGCUGAGAUUUUAGACACCGAUUAAUAUAUAUAUAUAUAUAUAUAUAUAUAUAUAUAUUUGUGCGCGCGCGCGCCAAUUGUGUGUUUAUUUGUGUGCAAGAGAGACAGAACUAGUACCUCUAGAAGCCGAUCCUUGGUAUUUUUUGAUAAAUUACCGAGACGUUGCUUGCCGUAAAUCUCAAAGAAAUUGUAACGCGCAUAUUGAGACAGAUAUGGUGGAGCAGGUAUUACAACUCUAUCUCUUCCAACUUCAGACUCAUGAUCCCACUCUGACCCUUCAAAUGAAUCUGUCUUUUCAACUAUCACAUGGAUCCCGCAUUCAAACACUUCAUCGUCUUCUCCCGUAUAAAGUCCCACGCACAGUUGCAAUUCCUCAUCUUCACAAUAUUCUUUCAUUGUCAUCUCACUUAUACUUAUGUAUCUCAACCAAUUUCUACCGACACAAUCACUUAUAGUUGCUUCAAACAAUUGAAUACCGUUGCUUUUAUUUCUUAUACACAAUUUGGUGAUUCCAAUAAGACCUAUCAAGCGUUGACAGACAACCCCAACGACCAAGCCUCGGAAAACUAGAGGUAUAUGAAAUGAUAAUGAACUUCCUUUUCCUCGGUAGCUGAACCAAUUUGGAAUCAUAGUGAACUUAUCUCUGUGGCUGAACGUAUGCCAAAGAUUGAAGAACAUAUGAUACGCGUAACCACCGUAGCAUAGUGCCUGUAUAUAUUAGACAAUAAUUAAUGUAUAUAUUGUAUGUGCAAAUUGUGUGCUUAUUUGCGUGCACGAGAGACAGAAAUAGUACCUCAGCAAGACUUUUCUUAUAAUUAUUUGAUAACUUGCUCUUGGUAAGAUAGGAAAUAAACCAGCCAUGAUUACUUAGACCUUCCAUGCCUUCAAUCUCUGUUAAAUCCGGACAACCAAACAGAAACAAACUUAGAUAUUUUUUUGCUUGGAUUGGUAGUCUUACCCAUUGCAUAGAUUUGCAACCAAAUGUAUCCAACUGUUCUAAAUUUGAGGGAAGCUCUGGGAUUGAUACAAGAUUUCUGCAUUCCUGAACGGUCAAAAGCCGCAGCUUAGAAAGGAUGCCGAUGCCAGAAGGCAGACUGAAGAACUCAUUUUUUGAUAGAUCCAACUCUUCAAGAGAGGAAAAACCUCCUAAAUCAACAGAAUUAAUUGCACGUUCAGAGAAACCACAAUUAACAAGUUUUAGCUUUCCCAAUACUCUCCAAAUAGUGGAAGUUGGAGUUGGCAGAAAAGCUGAAAUCCAAGAAGAAUUUGGUGAAGGCCGAUAUGGUAAGUUCCAGUCCCACUUCCAGUGUCCGCGCAAUGACAACUUCCUCACACACUUUAAAUGUCCAACUGAAGAGAGAAAUUGCUCAUUGUUAAUUCCAUCUGCUAGAAGCUCAAUGAAAGACUCGAUAUCACCCAUGCACUCUGGCAGCUCCUUAAGUUGUGAGCACCCCGCAAUAUUCAAACACACAAGAGACUUUGAAUGUUUAAUAGAUUGAUCUACCUCAAUUAAACUUGAGCAACCUUCAAGUAGUAGUUUUUCUAGUCUUGAACUGUGCAAGUUUGGUGUUUUCACAAGGUUCUUUGAAUAACUAAGAUCAAGAAUCUUUAGAUUGUUGAGUAUCUGUCAGAGCAGAGAGAAAAAUCAUUAAAAAGUAAUCAUCAAAAGUUUUCUAGACAAAUUUUUGGGCAUUUUGGUAUGUUUCGCACCUUUUUUUCUUUCCAUAGUUCUCUGAUGUUACUGUACUGCAUAUCAAUAACAACUACGUAGUCCAAUGAAAAGUCGGAUGGUAAAAAUUCCAAAGGAUAUUCAAGCCAACAAAUCCACGUCAACACUUUAGAAAGCCGUUCAAAAGAUCCGGUGAGUUCUGCCCCACUGAUUUGGAGUAAUUUUAACAAUUUCAUUUUUGUAAAUGAUCCUGUGCUUAGUGAUUUGUCUUCUGAUCUUCUCACAUCCAAUGUAAGGCCCUUUACAACUUCUGUUCCCUUAAAAAGAAAAAAAAAAAUGAAUAGAACUUUCAUCUGAUUUUUUGUAAUAAGUUUGACAAUAAAGAUACAAAUUAAUGAAUGUGCUUUUCUGUAUGCAUUGAGUUCUUACCAUAUGCAUCUUGAGUACUAUCCACGCAUCCUCUUGACUCCAAAUUCUGCUCCUUCGUGCAGGAUUUUCAGGUGACUCUUCCUUAACGAUCUCCCUUCCCAUCCCUCGUAAUAGAUCAUGCAUGCCUAUCGUUCCAGAAUCAUCAACUUUAAUCAGAGACCGUUCAAUGAGAGUUCCGAAAUCAUCUUCUGGAUUGUAAUCAUAACGUCCUUCUAGCACUUUUGCUACGUAUUCUUUCUUUCUACCAAUAAAGAAGCAUGCAAUAUCAAGAAAUGUAUUCUUUAGUGUAGAUUCAUCCAGUGUGUCAAAACUUAUUCUAAGUUUUUUCUGAAUUUCACUGUUUGGAAAAUUUCUCAAUCUGUCAAUUACAGAUUCCCAUCUAGCUUGGUUUUUCCCAUACAAACAAGAACCUAAAACCUUAAGAGCUAAAGGAAGUCCUCCACAGUAUUCAACU
rnacentral:lncRNA from 1 species